GCACUACUGAGGAGUCCCAUACUCGGACGAAACGACCGUCCAGUAC
rfam:Schistosoma mansoni, Puerto Rico, WGS project CABG01000000 data, contig: 0105